UACGGAGGGUGCGAGCGUUGUCCGGAAUCAUUGGGCGUAAAGGGCGCGUAGGUGGCCCCUCAAGCGUGCGGUGAAAGUCCGGGGCUCAACCUCGGAUCGGCCGUGGCGACUCGUGGGCUGGAGCACUGUAGAGGCGGGUGGAAUUCCGGGUGUAGCGGUGGAAUGCGUAGAGAUCCGGAAGAACACCAGUGGCGAAGGCGGCCCGCUGGGCAGUGGCUGACGCUGAGGCGCGACAGCGUGGGGAGCAAACAGG
rnacentral:rRNA from 1 species